GUAGGCUCCAGGCUCUAAGCUGACAACACAGAACCCUACGUAGGGUUUGUACUCAUGAACGGAAAGAACUUCUUCCUAGAAUGUCCCAUGACUGUCCAUCCAACAUGCCUUACUUGCUCAGAAAUAUCAUCCCUAAUAUCUGAACCAUCCCACAUGGCAAGAAAGGAAUCAAAGCAUGACCCUCUUCUGCUUCUUUGGACCUAUGGUUUAUAUGAGAAAGUGUAGUGAUGAGCAAUAGUAGCAAGGAACAUCUCAAUACAGAUGAUAAAGUCCUGGAGUCCUGUAGCCACAGCUUCUGCAGUUUGCCAUUCCCAUGUAUGC